AGUCUUAGCGGUGCGUUGCCACCAGACACUGCAGACAUCCUAAAGACCACCUCCGCUUGAAUCUGUCGACGUUAUAGCACGGACUUUAUUGGGAUUCCACUUUGCUCCCAAGUUCAAAUCUCUCCUCUGCUACAGCUGCAGGAAGGGUCUGUUCGACGUGCCAGGCUUAGGGGCAAAGAGGACUUUGCUCAGUAGGGGAAUAUUCAAAAACUCAGUGAGGACUUGCAGCAUGGUCAGUGCCUCAAGAACAAAAGGACAAUGCAGUUUCAAAAGGGCAGGCUCUGAAAACAGGGGAAAGCAGGGGCACGCAGGGCAAGGUGGGCUGGCUAGGAGGAAAGUUUUCACUCCUUGAAUCAGGUAGCCCUGGCAAGUGCAUCCCACAAAGGCUGGGUUUUUUCUGGGUACCUGCUAAAUUCAUGCUUCUUGGCUUCUGGGCUGAUGGGAAAGAUGGGAAAUAGUGAUCUUCAUGAGUAUGACUUAGUCAAUUUGAAACACCAAAGCCACAGAGUUCACCAAGGAGGAAGACUCUCCCGCUUGCCAAGCAGCCAGCAACUUUGGUUCGCUGCACUGCCCAGGUAUAGAGCUGGUGUACAGACAACGCUGUAACACAAUCGAUCUCAUUUCCUAGUAUGCUUCCUUAACCUUAGCUGAGCAAUUGGCCUAACAUGGAUUUCAGUAUGAUCCUUUAGUUUUCGCCCUUUAUGGAUUAGUGUAUCUUUAUGACAGAGCAUCAUUUCACUGCUUGCAUUUUUCUCCUUUGCUAGUGAUAGCAGAGAGCCAUAUAAUGUAUGACUGCAAGACUAAAAUUGGUCCAAGUGUUGCAAGUGACUUUUAUACCUAUCUAAUAAAACCUGAUAGAUGUCCUUUGGGAGCACUCGUUAUUGCCUCUGUCACAACUGGUAAAUGAGUAACAAUUCCAUAAAGAGUUUUCAGUAUCAGUAAAAGUAAAGUUCAUUGGCCAAUCCUCAAAUAAUUAACAACUUUUUCCACUACCAGUGCAGUGAGACGUGACCUCUUCCAACGAAACAUAAGCUGUUUUUCUCCAACUCAGUGCACCCCCUGGAAUAAUUGGAUCAGCUCUGUCUACUGCCAGACCUUUUGUCUUGUAUGAAUCAACAUGGAAAGGAAUCUUAAGAAUGUUUUGGUAAUAUCUUUUGGAUUUUUACUUCUCUUCACUGCUUAUGGAGGACUCCAGAGUCUACAGAGCAGUCUCCACUCAGAAGAAGGCCUGGGCGUUGCUUCCCUAAGUGUUAUCUAUGCUGCACUCAUCUUCUCAUCCAUGUUCCUCCCUCCAAUCCUCAUCAAGAAGCUGGGCUGCAAGUGGACCAUCACAGGCUCUAUGUGCUGCUACAUCGCAUUCUCCUUAGGGAACUUCUAUGCUAGCUGGUACACACUAAUCCCUACCUCUGUGAUCCUGGGCUUAGGAGGAGCACCACUCUGGUCUGCCAAAUGCACUUACCUCACUGUUGCUGGCAAUUUAUACGCUGAGAAAGCAGGAAAAAAUGGGAAAGACAUUAUCAACCAAUACUUUGGGGUCUUCUUUCUGAUAUUUCAGUCCUCUGGCAUCUGCGGAAAUCUUAUCUCAUCCUUGAUAUUUAGUCAAGCUUCUACCAAAGUGGAAAUCUCAGAAGAAAACCUGGCAUGCUGCGGAGCAUAUGACUGCAUGACUGAUACCACCAACACCACCGGGUCAGCAGAAUCCUCCAGCUCCUUAAUCUACACUCUGCUAGGAACCUACACUGCUAGUGGUGUGCUAGCUGUGUUGCUGAUUGUUAUAUUUCUGGACCAGAUCAAAUUGGAUCAAGCAGAGACUGAGAAUGAAAUACUAGAGACAACAUCCUUUUGGUCUACGUUCCUAGCAACUUUCCAGCAUCUUAAAGAUAAAAGACAGUGUCUUCUAAUCCCUCUGACAAUGUACAGUGGGUUUGAACAGGGAUUUCUUGCUGGUGACUACACAAAGACCUAUGUGACCUGUGCCCUGGGCAUACCUUAUGUUGGUUAUGUGAUGAUCUGCUUCUCAGCUGUAAACUCCCUCUGCUCUCUGCUCUUUGGAAAGAUCUCUCACUUCAUGGGUAGAAAACUUCUAUUUGCAAUAGCCAUGGUUACAAACACCGCCUGUAUAAUAGCACUACUGCUGUGGAAACCUCAUCCUAAGCAGCUUGCUGUGUUUUUCAUAUUCCCUGCUCUUUGGGGCCUAUCUGAUGCUAUUUGGCAGACACAAACUAAUGGUGUAAAACCGAGCAACUGGAAGCAGCUGUGGCCAGCACGAAGCCCAAGGUGACACGCGCGCAUCCCCGGGAACACCAGCACUGGGUAGGCAGGUGUUACGUUCCAGGGUGGUCAGAGACAGCCCGAGCAGUUUUUGCAUUGUGGAACAGUGUCUGCAGACACGUGGGUGGGUUUCCAAGUUAUUAAAGAACGGGCUGAACACAGAGCCCUCUGGGGAUGCAGGCUGUGAAGAGAUGGGUGUUCAUCUGGGCACACGUUUAUACAGAGCAAAGUGAGUUAAAUUUGUGUUCAUUCAUUUAGACUAAUGCCUAAUCCUAGAGUUACUGCUUCAUCAUUGCAUUUCAAGAGCUUCUGCUUAUAAGUGAUAUGACUUCCUUAAAAGUGGGUACAUGUUUGUUGUUACUUACAAUAUUUGAUUUUCUUUGCAGUUAAUUACCAGGGAAUUUGAAGCUGACAUUUGUCAUAUCUAGGUUUGGUGGGCCAAUUUCCUGCAAACUACUCCUGGAAUGCCAGAGGUAUGAAACGUGUUCCAUUAAUACAAGCUUAUAUGAACAAAACACCAAAGAAGGCUUCAUUGUUCAGACAUUACUAACAGCUUAAAUCGUGAUUACCUAGAAGAGACUGUGAUGGCACAGUUUAUGACACGCUGGAUUCACGUACAAGAGUGCCUUUCACUGAAACACUGCUGAUAGCAAUGUUGAGAUGUACAGAAAAGACAAAGCUAACUGCAGUCUGUAAGUUGACUCAUCCAAAUUCUUAGCAUGGCUACUUUCAAUUACACUUUUUUUUUUCUUAAAUUAAUAAUCUGCUCAAGGAAUCAAACCAGCUACUAUAAAACUUGUUUAGUUUUGUAUAGGUGUUUUGGUUUGGGUUGGGUUUUUUUUUGUUGUUGUUGUUGUUUUGUGUUUUAGCAUGUGACAUAAUGCUGUUUAAUAAACAGACAGGAAAAAGAACUCCCAGGAAAGAAAGUGGAAGCAAAGAUGACAAAGAUGACAGUGGAAGCAAAGUUUCCUAGGGCCACCACACUAGGUUUGUGCACAAGCUCAGCAGCAAACGUCCUGGGGUCUGAAAGGAAGCACUCUCUGCAAGACUACUUUCCUCUUCAUGGUAUUUUAUCUAAUAAGGUGGAGAUGAUGGCAGAGGACUAUGAUAGAAGAGAUGUCUUGAGGCCAUUGGUGUUCCAUCUCCAUGGGAAUGUCCCUGCAGUAGCCUGUGAGGUUUUACUGGAACACAGCUGGACUGAAUUCGACAAAAAGGAGCAAGAUGACUCAGACUGGAAUCUGUACUGGUGGAACUCACCUUUCUGCGUGACAGACCACCACAGCAUUAAACCAUGGCAGACAGCCACUACCCAGAAGCAUCAUAAAGGAAAUAAAUUAGUGAGCAAACAGUUAACAUCAGAGCAGCAGAACACAAAGAAAAGGGUAGGCUAUUUAACUUUUGUGUUGAUGUUAGGUUAUAUAGACAUCAUAAACAACAAUUUUAGCUGGCAGGAGGCAGAUGUACACUGGAAUUGUAUUACAAAUAGAGAUAACUCAAACAAUACACAAUGUAAAAAUUAAAAUUAAAGUACUGGUUUUAAAAGUA